CGCCAGGGCGGCGUCCUAUACAUGCAGUCGAGCGGACAGAAGGGAGCUUGCUCCCGGAUGUUAGCGGCGGACGGGUGAGUAACACGUGGGUAACCUGCCUGUAAGACUGGGAUAACUCCGGGAAACCGGAGCUAAUACCGGAUAGUUCCUUGAACCGCAUGGUUCAAGGAUGAAAGACGGUUUCGGCUGUCACUUACAGAUGGACCCGCGGCGCAUUAGCUAGUUGGUGAGGUAACGGCUCACCAAGGCGACGAUGCGUAGCCGACCUGAGAGGGUGAUCGGCCACACUGGGACUGAGACACGGCCCAGACUCCUACGGGAGGCAGCAGUAGGGAAUCUUCCGCAAUGGACGAAAGUCUGACGGAGCAACGCCGCGUGAGUGAUGAAGGUUUUCGGAUCGUAAAGCUCUGUUGUUAGGGAAGAACAAGUGCAAGAGUAACUGCUUGCACCUUGACGGUACCUAACCAGAAAGCCACGGCUAACUACGUGCCAGCAGCCGCGGUAAUACGUAGGUGGCAAGCGUUGUCCGGAAUUAUUGGGCGUAAAGGGCUCGCAGGCGGUUUCUUAAGUCUGAUGUGAAAGCCCCCGGCUCAACCGGGGAGGGUCAUUGGAAACUGGGAAACUUGAGUGCAGAAGAGGAGAGUGGAAUUCCACGUGUAGCGGUGAAAUGCGUAGAGAUGUGGAGGAACACCAGUGGCGAAGGCGACUCUCUGGUCUGUAACUGACGCUGAGGAGCGAAAGCGUGGGGAGCGAACAGGAUUAGAUACCCUGGUAGUCCACGCCGUAAACGAUGAGUGCUAAGUGUUAGGGGUUUCCGCCCCUUAGUGCUGCAGCUAACGCAUUAAGCACUCCGCCUGGGGAGUACGGUCGCAAGACUGAAACUCAAAGGAAUUGACGGGGGCCCGCACAAGCGGUGGAGCAUGUGUUUAAUUCGAAGCAACGCGAAGAACCUUACCAGGUCUUGACAUCUCUGACAACCCUAGAGAUAGGGCUUUCCCUUCGGGGACAGAGUGACAGGUGGGUGCAUGCUUGUCGUCAGCUCGUGUCGUGAGAAUGUUU
rnacentral:rRNA from 1 species